CGAGUCGGACGGGCGACCGCGUUGUCGGAGCGAUCCGAUGCCGAGGAAAGUCCGGACUCCACAGGGCAGGGUGGUUGCUAACGGCAACCCGGGGUGACCCGCGGGACAGUGCCACAGAGAACAGACCGCCCGGUGCCUCGUGCACCGGGUAAGGGUGAAACGGCGGUGUAAGAGACCACCAGCGCCCCGGGUGACCGGGGCGGCUAGGUAAACCCCACCCGGAGCAAGACCAAGAGGACCGGCUGUUGUCAUCGGCUGGUCUGCGCGAGCGUUCGAGGGCUGCCCGCCCGAGCUCGCGGGUAGGUCGCUUGAGCCCGUCGGCAACGGCGGGCCUAGAUGGAUGGUCGCCGACUACAGGAUCCGGCUUAUAGCCGAGUCGCUCG
rnacentral:RNase_P_RNA from 1 species